UAGCUCAGUUAGUAGAGCAUGGUGUUUGCAACGCCAGGGUUGUGGGAUUGAUUCUCAC
rnacentral:tRNA from 1 species